GACGAACGCUGGCGGCGUGCUUAACACAUGCAAGUCGAACGAAGUGGCGAACGGGUGAGUAACGCGUAAUCAACCGGCCCUUCAGAGGGGGAUAACAGUUGGAAACGACGGCUAAUACCGCAUACUGAAGGAGGGGAAUGGGGCGGAUUUGCUAGUUGGGGGGGUAACGGCCCACCAAGGCGAUGAUCAGUAGCCGGUCUGGGCGGAUGAACGGGCACAUUUGGACUUAGACACGGCCCAGACUCCUACGGGAGGCAGCAGUGGGGAAUCUUCCGCAAUGGACGAAAGUCUGACGGAGCAACGCCGCGUGAGUGAUGACGGCCUUCGGGUUGUAAAGCUCUGUUAAUCGGGGCGCGUUACCGGCAGAGAAAGCAACGGCUAACUACGUGCCAGCCGCCGCGGUAAUAC
rnacentral:rRNA from 1 species